rnacentral:rRNA from 1 species
CAGUAGCCACGGUAAUACGUAGGGUGCAAGCGUUAAUCGGAAUUACUGGGCGUAAAGCGUGCGCAGGCGGUUUGUUAAGACAGAUGUGAAAUCCCCGGGCUCAACCUGGGAACUGCAUUUGUGACUGGCAAGCUAGAGUGUGGCAGAGGGGGGUGGAAUUCCGCGUGUAGCAGUGAAAUGCGUAGAUAUGCGGAGGAACACCGAUGGCGAAGGCAGCCCCCUGGGACAACACUGACGCUGAGGCACGAAAGCGUGGGGAGCAAACAGGAUUAGAGACCCGCGUAGUCCCUGUCUCUUAUAC